UUUUCUUGAAGAAAAAACAAAACAAAAGCAUAGAAUCAAAUUUCACCAAUGAUCCUGUUUUGACAUAGGUAUAGCACGGAGCAAAAGUUGCCAAGCAGAACAAGACUAGAGCACAACUACAGUUUUGUGCUGAAAUAAGUUUAUAUUAGUAGGUCUGAGAAAACUUCAAUAGUAUUGUGGCAAAAUAAACUCUUUCUGACUGGUUCUUCAAUAA